GAUGAACGCUGGCGGCGUGCCUAAUACAUGCAAGUCGAGCGAAUGGAUUAAGAGCUUGCUCUUAUGAAGUUAGCGGCGGACGGGUGAGUAACACGUGGGUAACCUGCCCAUAAGACUGGGAUAACUCCGGGAAACCGGGGCUAAUACCGGAUAACAUUUUGAACCGCAUGGUUCGAAAUUGAAAGGCGGCUUCGGCUGUCACUUAUGGAUGGACCCGCGUCGCAUUAGCUAGUUGGUGAGGUAACGGCUCACCGAGGCAACGAUGCGUAGCCGACCUGAGAGGGUGAUCGGCCACACUGGGCCGGCGACACGGCCCAGACUCCUACGGGAGGCAGCAGUAGGGAAUCGUCCGCAAUGGACGAAAGUCUGACGGAGCAACGCCGCGUGAGUGAUGAAGGCUUUCGGGUCGUAAAACUCUGUUGUUAGGGAAGAACAAGUGCUAGUUGAAUAAGCUGGCACCUUGACGGUACCUAACCAGAAAGCCACGGCUAACUACGUGCCAGCCGCCGCCGUAA
rnacentral:rRNA from 1 species